UACGUAGGGUGCAAGCGUUAAUCGGAAUUACUGGGCGUAAAGCGUGCGCAGGCGGUUGUGCAAGACAGAGGUGAAAUCCCCGAGCUUAACUUGGGAACUGCCUUUGUGACUGCAUAGCUAGAGUGUGUCAGAGGGGGGUAGAAUUCCACGUGUAGCAGUGAAAUGCGUAGAGAUGUGGAGGAAUACCGAUGGCGAAGGCAGCCUCCUGGGCCAACACUGACGCUCAUGCACGAAAGCGUGGGGAGCAAACAGG
rnacentral:rRNA from 1 species